UACGAAGGGGGCUAGCGUUGCUCGGAAUCACUGGGCGUAAAGCGCACGUAGGCGGCUUUCUAAGUCAGGGGUGAAAUCCUGGAGCUCAACUCCAGAACUGCCUUUGAUACUGGAGAGCUUGAGUCCGGGAGAGGUGAGUGGAACUCCGAGUGUAGAGGUGAAAUUCGUAGAUAUUCACAAGAACACCAGUGGCGAAGGCGGCUCACUGGCCCGGUACUGACGCUGAGGUGCGAAAGCGUGGGGAGCAAACAGG
rnacentral:rRNA from 1 species